GGGGAAUAUUGGACAAUGGGCGAAAGCCUGAUCCAGCCAUCCCGCGCGGGUGAAGAAGGCCUUCGGGUUGCAAAGCCCUAUUGUUGGGAAAGAAAAGCAGCUGGCCAAUACCCGGUUGAUCUGACGGUGUCCUACGAAUAGGCACCGGCGAACUUCGCGCCAGCAGCCGCGGUAAUACGAAGGGUGCAAGCGUUACUCGGAAUUACUGGGCGUAAAGCGUGCGUAGGUGGUGGUUUAAGUCCGUUGUGAAAGCCCUGGGCUCAACCUGGGAACUGCAGUGGAUACUGGAUCACUAGAGUGUGGCAGAGGGUAGUGGAAUUCCCGGUGUAGCAGUGAAAUGCGUAGAGAUCGGGAGGAACAUCAGUGGCGAAGGCGACUGCCUGGGCCAACACUGACACUGAGGCACGAAAGCGUGGGGAGCAAACA
rnacentral:rRNA from 1 species